AAAUCAUAUAGCCGGGCGUGGUAGCACACGCCUUUAAUCCCAGCACUCGGGAGACAGAGGCAGGUGGAUUUCUGAGUUUUAGGCCAGCCUGGUAGACUCAGACCUUCCCUUCCGCAGAGGGGAGACAGGUUAACAGGGACUCAGUAAGGCGCAUGCUUCGAGAUCACAGAGGACAAACAACUGGCUCAGGCAGGAAUCUGUGGCCAUACAGAGAAUAGGGAGUCCUGUUCAUCUGACUGCAGGCUCAGGCUGGAGUACCAUGCAUACCGUUCAUGAGGUUCUAACUGCUAAAACCAAUUCCUUUGGUAUUUGUUCAGAAGUGGUACCUACAGACCAUUCCCAGCAACUACAGUAGAAAAGAACUGGAAGAAUAGAGGGUGACUCAGCCACCAGCCAUUUCAGAGGAGGAUCAGGGGUGAGCCUGUGGCACAAGACCAAAGCCCUAAGACCACAGGGGCCUGGAAGUCUGGCUUACUCAAUAGCUGCAUACAUUCCUCUGGUUUCCCCCGGACAUUUUUCAGUCCCUAAGACACUAGGAAACAUGAGUCCCAAAGCACUCUGUGCUGGCUAGCUUGUUAACAUGACACAAGCUAGAGUAGGAGAGGGAAGCUAAAUUAAGAAACUGCCUCCAUAAGACUGGAGCAAGCCUGGAGCACAUUUUCUUAAUUUGUGACUGAGGUGGGAAGGGCCUAGGCUCCUGUGGGUGGUCCCACCCCUGGGCUGGUUGUCUGUAUAAGUAAGCAGGUUGAGCCAGGCAGUAGUGGCACACUCCUUUAAUCCCAGCACUUGGGAGGCAAAGGCAGGCAGAUUUCUGAGUUCCAGGUCUGGUCUACGGAGUGAGUUCCAGGACAGCCAGGGCUACACAGAGAAACCCUAUCUCGAAAAAACAAAACAAACAAAAGAAGAAAGCAGGCAGAGCAAGCCGAGAGGAGCAACCGAACAUGCCCCUCCCCUGUGACCCUGCAUCAGCUCUUAACCUCCAGGUCCCUAGUCUGCUUGAGCUCUGACCUUCUUUGAUGAUGAACAGUGAGGUAGAAGAGUAAGUCUUAAAUAAACCCUCCCUCCCCAGGCUGCUUUACUCAUGGUGUUUCAUCACAGCAGAGUAAACCUGAAUGCGACAAGCUCCAUGCAGUCACUUACUGAAUGUGACCCUCUUGUCCAUCCAAAGCCCUAGUAACUACAAUCCACCAUCCACUGAUCACACCCCAGGACUGGGGCGGCUCGGUGUGGCCGGAGAGUUCCCCAAGGAGAUGUGGGGUUGCAGUGCAAUCCGAUCCUCACAAGCUGCUCUGGGAUAGCACUUCUCCUCCUCACACUGGGAUUCCCACUGUUGCUGCAUCACAAGAAAGGAGUCACUCUCCAUUUACCACACUACUCAAAACGUCCCUGGCUUCCAGACAGAAAUCAAGGGGCCUGAAUCUUUCAAAAAACCUUUUCUUAUCCAUAGAGUCUCAAAACUGGGAUUCAAGAAAUAGGUAAGGCCUGUUCUUCAUAUGCCAGGCACACAAGCGGUCAGAACACUAUAUACAUAAUAAAAAAAGAAAUCUUAAAAAAAUAAAAUAGAAAGCUUAAAAAAAAAAAAGACAAGAAUCCUCCAGGUGAAGAAACUUGUUAAACUGCACAGUUGGUGAAGUCAUAAUUUAAAACAAACCCACCUAGCUCCAAAAGCACCCUCCCGCACAGCCCACAGCACUCCACCCGAACGAAAUGUGGUCAACAGAGUGCACUCCCCACAGAGUGAGCACUGGAAAAGAGACUCUUAACAAAGUUCCAGAGGAGGAGGAGAGCAGGGAAGACGGCGUGGGCCAGGCAUGUAGUGGAUGCCUACAAUCCGGACAUUUAGGGAACAGAGGCUGAAGAUGGCAAGCUUGGCUCACUAUGGGCUACACAACAAGACCCUGGUCUUUGUCUUUUUCUUUAAGGUAGUAGGGAGAAAAAUUCUGAUAGAAGUGUCAAAGAAGUUAUUCCUGGCAGAUGGAGACACAUGGACUGGGUACAGUGUAAAGGCCAGGAAUGACAGCACUAGGUGGGAUCACGGAGCCAUGAAGGGCGGGACACAUGGAACAUGGUGGCAGUGACGCUGGCUAAUGGUGGCUGAGCUGGUUUGGUUUUUUUUUUCUUUUUUUACGAAAGCUUGUGUCAUCUGGGAAGAGGGAAUCUCAAUGAAGACAAAGCCUUCGUCAGACUGGUCUGCAGCCAAGUCUGGAGGCCCACUCUCUUGAUUAACACAUGACGCAGAAGGGCGCAGCCCCCUGUAGAUAACAGACUGACCACAGUACAAAUGAGUCCCUCCACGAUCUCUGCAUUGCCUGUUGCUCUGGCUUCCCUCAAUGACAGACGCUAACACGCAAGUUCAAGUGAAAUGAACCCUCUCCUUCCCAAGCCACUCUGUCUUAAGUGUUUUAUCACAGCAACAGAAAACAAACCAGGAGCCGGGCGUGGUGGCGCAUGCCUUUAAUCCCAGCACUUGGGAGGCAGAGGCUGGCGGAUUUCUGAGUUCAAGGCCAGCCUGGUCUACAGCGUGAGUUCCAGGACAGCCAAGGCUAUACAGAGAAACCCUGUCUCUAAAAACCAAAAAAAAAGAAAGAAAGAUAGAUAGGUAAGUCAAACAGCCACAGUUGGGAUCCAACUAGCAAGCUAGCUCUGUGUAUCAGUUUUUGUUCUUUUGUUUUUGAAACAGGUUCCAAGUAGCCUAGGCUAGCCUCAAAUACGUUAUGUAACUUAAGGACAGUUUCGAACUCCUGAUCCUUCUGCCUCCAUGGUCGAAUACUAAAGUCACUAGUGUAUACCAGCUCAAUUCUCUUAGCUGCUCAACAUUCAACGUACUGCUCUUUUCCCCCUUUUUUCUCUCUCUUUCUCUUCUUUCCUCAGAAACAGGGUCUAUGUAGACAAGGCUGGCCUCAAACUACCAAUC
ensembl:lincRNA Gm26785 predicted gene, 26785